rnacentral:rRNA from 1 species
UGAACGCUGGCGGUAUGCUUAACACAUGCAAGUCGAACGGAAACGAUACUAGCUUGCUAGUAGGCGUCGAGUGGCGGACGGGUGAGUAACGCGUAGGAAUCUGCCUGAUAGUGGGGGAUAGCCCGAAGAAAUUCGGAUUAAUACCGCAUAAUCUAUUCGUAGUAAAGUGGGGGACUUUCGAGCCUCACGCUAUCAGAUGAGCCUGCGUAAGAUUAGCUAGUUGGUAGGGUAAAAGCCUACCAAGGCUACGAUCUUUAGCUGGUCUGAGAGGAUGAUCAGCCACAUCGGGACUGAGACACGGCCCGAACUCCUACGGGAGGCAGCAGUGGGGAAUAUUGGACAAUGGGGGCAACCCUGAUCCAGCAAUACCGCGUGUGUGAAGAAGGCCUGAGGGUUGUAAAGCACUUUCAAUUGUGAAGAAAAGUUAACGGUUAAUAACCGUUAGCCUUGACGUUAACUUUAGAAGAAGCACCGGCUAACUCCGUGCCAGCAGCCGCGGUAAUACGGAGGGUGCAAGCGUUAAUCGGAAUUACUGGGCGUAAAGCGUGCGUAGGCGGUUUAUUAAGUCAGAUGUGAAAGCCCCGGGCUUAACCUGGGAACUGCAUUUGAAACUGGUCAACUAGAGUAUGGUAGAGGAAAGUGGAAUUUCUGGUGUAGCGGUGAAAUGCGUAGAUAUCAGAAGGAACAUCAAUGGCGAAGGCAGCUUUCUGGACCAAUACUGACGCUGAGGUACGAAAGCGUGGGUAGCAAACAGGAUUAGAUACCCUGGUAGUCCACGCCGUAAACGAUGAUAACUAGCCGUUGGGGGGAUUUACCCUUUAGUGGCGAAGCUAACGCGUUAAGUUAUCCGCCUGGGGAGUACGGCCGCAAGGUUAAAACUCAAAGGAAUUGACGGGGACCCGCACAAGCGGUGGAGCAUGUGGUUUAAUUCGAUGCAACGCGAAGAACCUUACCUGGUCUUGACAUCCUGCGAACUUUCUAGAAAUAGAUUGGUGCCUUCGGGAACGCAGUGACAGGUGCUGCAUGGCUGUCGUCAGCUCGUGUCGUGAGAUGUUGGGUUAAGUCCCGUAACGAGCGCAACCCCUAUCCUUAUUUGCCAGCACGUCAUGGUGGGAACUAUAAGGAGACUGCCGGUGAUAAACCGGAGGAAGGCGGGGACGACGUCAAGUCAUCAUGGCCCUUACGACCAGGGCUACACACGUGCUACAAUGGGAAGGACAAAGAGCCGCGAAGCCGCGAGGUGUAGCUAAUCUCAGAAACCUUUUCGUAGUCCGGAUUGGAGUCUGCAACUCGACUCCAUGAAGUCGGAAUCGCUAGUAAUCGUAGAUCAGAAUGCUACGGUGAAUACGUUCCCGGGUCUUGUACACACC